UCACCCUCCCGAAAUUCUUCUCACCCCAGUACCUCUGGAAAGCAACACGGAAACCACUCUCACCUUGCUGGCUGUCGGUUAUUCAAGUGGAAUAAGGAUAUCAGCUCAAGUGGAUGAGAUAAAGCUGGAAGAUGGGACAAAGAUGCAGCCUGUGUGUGUCACCUUUCCAAAGGGUAACUCCAUCCCUGCCCAGGACCAUGACAAGGAAACCAACGGUGCUGCUCUGCCCUGCAGCGUGUCGUUCUGCUCCGCUGUCCCUCUGUCUCUUUGCACAACCAUCACCU